rnacentral:siRNA from 1 species
UACUAUCCUGGGCCUACUAAU